rnacentral:rRNA from 1 species
UACGUAGGGUCCGAGCGUUGUCCGGAAUUACUGGGCGUAAAGAGCUCGUAGGCGGUUUGUCACGUCUGCUGUGAAAUCCCGAGGCUCAACCUCGGGCCUGCAGUGGGUACGGGCAGACUGGAGUGCGGUAGGGGAGAAUGGAAUUCCUGGUGUAGCGGUGGAAUGCGCAGAUAUCAGGAGGAACACCGAUGGCGAAGGCAGUUCUCUGGGCCGUAACUGACGCUGAGGAGCGAAAGCGUGGGGAGCGAACAGG